rnacentral:tRNA from 1 species
GGGCCCUUGGUGUAACCUGGCAGCACCCGACGCUUGGAACGUCGAGGUGGCCGUUCGAAUCGGCUGGGGCCCA